UCACUUUCAACAACGGAUCUCUUGGCUCUCGCAUCGAUGAAGAACGCAGCGAAAUGCGAUAAGUAGUGUGAAUUGCAUAAUUUUGUGAAUCACCGAAUCUUUGAACGCAAAUUGCACUCCCUGGUAUUCCGGGGAGUAUGCCUGUUUGAGGGUCGUU
rnacentral:rRNA from 1 species